CGCCCCACCUAUUCCCCACAGCCUCCACCUCUGCCUCCAUCUCCACGCGCCGCCGGACCGUCGCGCCCACGCUCCAGGCGCACGGCCGCCUCCACCACGCGCCACCCGGACCGCCGACCGCCACGCCCACGCUCCAGGCGCACGGCCGCGUCCUCCACGCGCCGCCCGGACCGCCGACCGCCGCGCCCACCCUCCAGGCGCAUGGACGCGUCCUCCACGCGCCGCCCGGAUCCACGCGCCGCCCGGACCGCCGACCGCCGCGCCCACGCUCCACCGUACAGACGCGACCUCCAGGCGCCUCCCGGACAGGCGCCGCCUGAAGUCCACCCUACAGGUGCCUUCCGCCCAUAUUCUGGUUGCAGUGACCAUUUUUUGUUUAAUUGUUCGCAUGUUCAAUACCACACCCCCGCUCUCAGAUCCAGGCUGCUCGUUGGUGCCGAGCCCCAGCGUAGCACCCACCGUCUCCAUCUCCUGCGUCAGGACGCUGUUCCCACGGCCCUCCGACAGGUUCGUGGCUAAGUCACGGCCGCCGCGAUGGCAAGUACUCCAUGCGCCCUCGGUCGGUCGCUGCCGUCGCCGAGCAGUCCUCCUAUGAUUUCGCAUCUUAGUUCGCUACUGGAGAUGAACAGGACCAAGAGCUGCAGAGAUGGCAAGUACUUGACAAGAAAGAAUUACAGGCAGUUCCACCUGGAGGUGGGACAGGCUGUGGAAAUUGAAUGUAUUGUAAAGAUUUAGGAUGUAAACCAGGAGGUGAUCAAAGUAUUGGAGGGGCUGGGAUUUCGUGAAGAAAAUACCCAUCUUCCGUUUCACUGAGAGGGGAUGAUACUGAUGGUUCACUGCUAUAUUUGAUGUGAAAGUGUAAAUUGUGUGUCUGAUUAGGCUUUCUCUUUGGUUGCUAUUGGAAUAUAUAGGAGGUUGCCUGCUUUCCUUUUAUGCCAUAGUUCACACCACAUUUUUGUUUUUAGGCUUAUGUAUGAGUUGGUUUCAAGCUAUGCACAUGCUGCUCCAAUGUAUAUUUACAGAAACUCCUCAAAGUUAGAUUGGAGGAAUGCCCAUUUCUUCACCACUUCGGGGGUAAAAGUAGUAUGUGGAGCAAGUUAUUGCUUCCCUUCUCAUUUUUUGCUGUCAAGAAUCAAGUAUUAUACUUAAUGUUUUUUUAUUUUAUAGCCUCAUUUGUGAUCUUUUUCAUUUUAUUCCUUGUUAAUAUAUUCAAGGGUCUCAUUGCUACUUUGUCUCGAUAAUUUUAUAUCUACUUCAUGUCAUCACAAAUACAUGUUUUUAAUAGGAUCCGUCUUUUCUUUGUUCUAUUUUGGUCUUACCUUAAGGCCAUACCACUGCAGGAAACUUGGCUUACUUGGGAGUAUGAUCCAUGCUUUAUGAUGUUGUGAGUGACUUCUCGUGUUUAGUGCUUGCGGCGUAGAUCAGUAGAUGGAGAAGAGCCGACUUAACUGGAGUCCACACAGCACAAACGAACCAGAGUGUUUACAUUUCUUUCAAGUGCAAGAAGGCAGUUACACUACUGAAAUUAUAUGCGGAUGAAAUGCUUGGGACUACAAGAUGCUACAAGGAAACUAAAUGCAAAAGAAAACUAUGGAGGAAGUAUUACGUGCAAUACUAAAUCUGGAGGAAGAAUAAAAAUCAAGGAUGGUGACCAGAUAAGGAAGCAAUUUUUGGUGCACCUACUCAACUACAUCAACAAUGAAGCUGCACACAACAUUCCGGAUACUUACGUGAAUUCAUUAGCCUUAUUAGGAAAUACUGGGAUAAUUGUUUUGGCUCUAUGCACAUGACGAGUCGAUGAUACAUUAAGGUUGUGUUUGGCUGCUCAGUUUUUUUGAAGUAUUUGGAGAAUACUAUGGUUUUCUCAUAAACCACAGAUUUCAAAACUUUGAGCUGUUUGGCUUCAACAAAUAGUUUUAUAAAUCAUAGUAUCUCUAAUACCAUGGUUUUUUGGUAGUAUUUAAUAAAGAGAUCUUCACCACUUUUUUACAAACUGAAAAAACCGUGGUUUUUAAAAACUGAAGAAUUAAUUGUACUGAGGUUCUCGGUUACUACUGUUUUGAGAAAACUAUGUUGCCAAACUAGGCCUGUAGUGUUUUCUUGAUUUGUAAUAGUACUUUUGAGUGUAAUCAAAAUAUCUUUAUGUGCAUGUUAAUUCUGACAUAUGUUUGUCAUAUUAAUUGAGAUAUGCAUUUGCACAUGCACGCUUACUAGUUCCUUGCAAGAGAGAUCACAGAACACAAGAACGAAGAGAUUUGCGCCGCGUGAACUUCUCACGGCUUUUCUUCUGCUUCUAUUAUUCAUUCAAGGGACUUGACGACUUAUUAGGACGCAACCCAAACAGACUCGACAUCGGCCAAACUAAGACAAGACGUGCUGUAAGCACACAAGCCGCCACAAUUGUUUAUUUGGAAAGGGAAACAUUCACUAUGAUUUACGUAUUCCCUUCCGAUGUAAAAUAAUUGUCGCAGUUUUGUAUUAAGUUUGAACUAAUCUAAUAGCAAACUGCGACACUUAUUAUGGAUCAGAGAGAGUACGAUAUACCAGUAACGGGUGACAAUUUAUUCAUGGUCUGCUGUACGUAUUUGCA